GUUGGGGUGGCAGAGUCCGGAUAAUGCAAAAGACUUAAAUUCUUUCUACAGAGGUUCAAGUCCUCUCCUCAACU
rnacentral:tRNA from 1 species